rnacentral:lncRNA from 1 species
ACAUAUGCACAAUUGCUUCAUUAAAAUUUUAAGAUAAAUAAAGAAAACAAAUUAAAGCAAAGAACCAUAUUGCCAUCUUCGUCAAAAAUGUCAACUAAAAUUUUUUCCCCUUUUCCCGGUUUGGAGCUAAAUUUCUUAACAUCGGGAGAGACCAUUCUGACUCAAAAACAAAACCAAAAAACAUUGGCCAUUUCGAUAGUAGCCAACUAUAUACUGUACAAGGACUAUAAUAAAUUAACCAAACUCAUAAAGCGAUGAUUCAAUACUGCUUCAGCAAUUGGACGUUGACG